GGAAGGCGGGAUGAUAACGGAAUCAAUGGAGAGGCCUGAGUAGGGUUAAUGCGGGCCCGAAGAUGUAGCUAGCAGGAGUAUGACAAUUAGUGGGAAAGUCUGAGCACGAGUGGCAUGCCAGGCCAUCAGUUCCAGUCUUGUUAUUUCCAAAAAGGCCUGAAGCCAGUCUUGCAACGAGGUUCUGGUGGCCAUGCAGUUGGAUACCUGGAACUCUUAGCUCUCUGCAGGAUGCCAGGACACCAAAGGCUGGAAGCCUUAGCCUUGCCUUGUCAGGAAAAACUCUGUGGAGGCUGGUCUGUAUUAAACAGUGGUUACAGGGAGCAGGUCUGUACCAAUUGGAGGACAUGCAGCUGCCAAAUCUUGAAUACAAACCUUAAAACCUCACAAACAUCAAGUCCCAGAGGAGUCUCCAAGUCCUAGAACUUCCAGGACACUGUUGGCUUCAGGAAAACUGGUUCCUUCUGAGCCCAAUGCUAAGGACCCCUGUUCCCCAACUUUGUGAUCUUAAGCAAGCUGCACCUUCAUUUUGCCCAUCGGUCUAAUAGCAAUACAGUCGUGAUGAGAUGGACCUCAGAGGGUGAGAAGUGUUCGACUCUGUCUGGAAUGUAGAAAAUUCUAGAUGUUGGCUACCAAAAUUAUGGCAGCUGUUUAGAAUCCU
rnacentral:lncRNA from 1 species